GUGGCUCCUAGAAGUGCUGCAGGUGUGGCUGCUGUGUCCUAUGUGAGCCAGUAGGUGGCAGAGAGGAGAGAGGCUACGUCCGCCUCUGCUAGGUGUUCAGACCCAUGGACAUCUGAAUGAUUAGUAGUCUAACACU